GUCGGUCCCGGUGAGUCGAGCGGCCACAAAUGAAAUGUCUUCGGGCGUUUUUCAGUUGCUUUUAUGCAGAGCUUCCUGUGGAACGCAGGAAUUGGACGGACAUCCCAAACCGGACUUCCUAAGACAUCCACAGUUAAGGGGAAACCAGACCAAAGCAGUGAGCCCCUCCUGGUGGUGUUAUGAGGAGCCUCAGUAGCGGUGGAAGAUCCAUACGCAGCCACAACAGCCUGGCAC